rnacentral:tRNA from 1 species
UUUCGGAGCCAGGUAACGAUCCUGGGACCAUUGGGUUAUGAGCCCAUUGCUCUACCACUGAGCUACUCCGAA